AAUGUUGUAGACUUGUUUACAUGGACUAUGAACCUGACGAGGCCCUGCUAAAUGUUCGAGAUCUUCUUACCCUAGGUCACAAAUAAGCUUCUUUCAAAGCUCAGUUCUGAAUCUUGCCAUGAGCGCUUGUAUGCAAUAAUGGCAUCAAGACAGAUCCCACAAACGAUGAGUGAAGAUCAUUUGGUGUCACAGCUGAGUCCAAAGUUCUGGAGUCCACCUCGUAAAACAAACUCGGCAC